GGUAGGGUUGGAUAUUCCAAUUUCAUCUUCAAUUUGACAAAUUUCUUGGUAUGUUUUAUGCUUAAUUUUUUUAGGGUUGUGAUUUAUUGGUUUAAUUUUCAAAUUGAAGGAAGGAAUAUGUUUGCAAGCCAAUAUUUUUGAAUUGGGAAGGCUACUUACAUUAAGGAGAUGACGAGAAGAUUGAAAUCAUGAUUAGUCCAUAACUUGAUAGCAGUCGAAUUGAGCG